rnacentral:rRNA from 1 species
CGGGGGGGGGGGCAAGCGUUGUUCGGAAUUACUGGGCGUAAAGGGCGCGUAGGCGGACGAGACAGUCUUUCGUGAAAUCCCACGGGCUCAACCGUGGAACUGCGGGAGAUACUACUCGUCUUGAGUUCGGGAGAGGAGUGUGGAAUUCCCAGUGUAGCGGUGAAAUGCGUAGAUAUUGGGAGGAACACCGGUGGCGAAGGCGGCACUCUGGACCGAUACUGACGCUGAGGCGCGGAAGCUAGGGGAGCAAACGGGAUUAGAUACCCCGGUAGUCCUAGCUGUAAACGAUGAGCACUUGGUGUAGCGGGUAUCGACCCCUGCUGUGCCGGAGUUAACGCAUUAAGUGCUCCGCCUGGGGAGUACGGUCGCAAGGCUG